rnacentral:rRNA from 1 species
GUGGGGAAUAUUGGACAAUGGGCGAAAGCCUGAUCCAGCCAUGCCGCGUGUGUGAAGAAGGUCUUCGGAUUGUAAAGCACUUUAAGUUGGGAGGAAGGGCAGUAAGUUAAUACCUUGCUGUUUUGACGUUACCGACAGAAUAAGCACCGGCUAACUUCGUGCCAGCAGCCGCGGUAAUACGAAGGGUGCAAGCGUUAAUCGGAAUUACUGGGCGUAAAGCGCGCGUAGGUGGUUUUGUAAGUUGGAGGUGAAAUCCCCGGGCUCAAACUGGGAACUGCCUCAAAAACUGCAUGACUAGAGUACGGUAGAGGGUAGUGGAAUUUCCUGUGUAGCGGUGAAAUGCGUAGAUAUAGGAAGGAACACCAGUGGCGAAGGCGACUACCUGGACUGAUACUGACACUGAGGUGCGAAAGCGUGGGGAGCAAACAGGAUUAGAAACCCUUGUAGUCC